AAAGAUGGCCUCUACUUGUAAGCUAUCGCCAGAAGAUGGGCCUGCGUCUGAUUAGCUAGUAGGUGGGGUAACGGCUCACCUAGGCGAUGAUCAGUAGCCGGUCUGAGAGGAUGAACGGCCACAUUGGGACUGAGACACGGCCCAAACUCCUACGGGAGGCAGCAGUGGGGAAUCUUCCGCAAUGGACGAAAGUCUGACGGAGCAACGCCGCGUGAGUGAUGAAGGUCUUCGGAUUGUAAAACUCUGUUGUCAGGGACGAAUGUACUGAUCUAUAAUACAUUUCGGUAUUGACGGUACCUGACGAGGAAGCCACGGCUAACUACGUGCCAGCAGCCGCGGUAAUACGUAGGUGGCAAGCGUUGUCCGGAAUUAUUGGGCGUAAAGAGCAUGUAGGCGGGCUUUUAAGUCCGACGUGAAAAUGCGGGGCUUAACCCCGUAUGGCGUUGGAUACUGGGAGUCUUGAGUGCAGGAGAGGAAAGGGGAAUUCCCAGUGUAGCGGUGAAAUGCGUAGAUAUUGGGAGGAACACCAGUGGCGAAGGCGCCUUUCUGGACUGUGUCUGACGCUGAGAUGCGAAAGCCAGGGUAGCAAACGGGAUUAGAUACCCCGGUAGUCCUGGCCGUAAACGAUGGGUACUAGGUGUAGGAGGUAUCGACCCCUUCUGUGCCGGAGUUAACGCAAUAAGUACCCCGCCUGGGGACUA
rnacentral:rRNA from 1 species